rnacentral:rRNA from 1 species
UACGUAGGGCGCAAGCGUUGUCCGGAAUUAUUGGGCGUAAAGGGCGCGUAGGCGGAUGGCACAGUCAGAUGUGAAAUUCCCGGGCUUAACCUGGGGGCUGCAUUUGAUACGUGUUGUCUUGAGUUCGGAAGAGGGUCGUGGAAUUCCCAGUGUAGAGGUGAAAUUCGUAGAUAUUGGGAAGAACACCGGUGGCGAAGGCGGCGACCUGGUCCGACACUGACGCUGAGGCGCGAAAGCGUGGGGAGCAAACAGG